AGCGAACGCUGGCGGCAGGCUUAACACAUGCAAGUCGAGCGGACCUUUCGGGGUCAGCGGCGGACGGGUGAGUAACGCGUGGGAACGUGCCUUCCGGUUCGGAAUAACCCUGGGAAACUAGGGCUAAUACCGGAUACGCCCUUAUGGGGAAAGGUUUACUGCCGGAAGAUCGGCCCGCGUCUGAUUAGCUAGUUGUUGGGGUAACUGCCUACCACGGCGCCGAUCAGUAGCUGGUCUGAGAGGAUGAUCAGCCACACUGGGACUGAGACACGGCCCAGAAUCCUACGGGAGGCAGCAGUGGGGAAUAUUGGACAAUGGGCGCAAGCCUGAUCCAGCCAUGCCGCGUGAGUGAUGAAGGCCUUAGGGUUGUAAAGCUCUUUUAUCCGGGACGAUAAUGACGGUACCGGAGGAAUAAGCCCCGGCUAACUUCGUG
rnacentral:rRNA from 1 species